ACAGAGCAGAGGCUCCCUGUGCUUAGCCUGUUGGAAUAGCCUCAUUCACCGUAGGAACUGAAAAGUACUUUUGAUGAACAGGUGGAUGAUGCUUCAAAAAGGAGACGUUUAAAAAGACAAAGAGAAGAGGAGCCUUGCACUGCUUAAUGAAAUGCAUUGCACACACGGGCUUGACUACUAGUGAAUGGAGAGACAGCGUGGGACACAACACCUCUUCCUUAACAUGGAACUAUCCUAGCUACACAGCUGCACAUGGUGACAUAGUCUCCUGUGCGAUGGAAUCAAGGCCAACGUAAAUCUCCUGCUCAGUGAUUUUUUCUAGGGCUGGUGAGUUGGCUGGCAAGAUGAGUUUGCUAUCAAACCCAAUGGCCUGUGUUUGAUCCCUGGGAUACACAUGAUGGCUUCAAAAUGUGCCUUUGAAACAGAAGGAACAUCUGGAAAAAAAAAUGACUUCCAGGCCACACCAGGCCCCACAGGAUGAUGGGACCCUCUGCAGCCCACAGCUGCCUGAGCUCACCAAGGCGGGGACACUGCCCACAUCUUCAGGAUGAGUCUCCAUUCAACAACUGUGCAAGGGUGCCCCACAGCACUGAGCCCAUGGUAGCAGACACUGUUGCUUAAAAGACAAUAUUUUGUAUGUUUCUGCUUUGGGGUUUGAGGAUUUAAUUCCUUAAAUAUGAGGAGUUAGGUGCAAAGUAAGUGACUCUAACACCCCUCCUCUCUCUCCACCGUUCAUCUGGCUAAUGUCCCUGAGAAGUGUAGGUUACUAGGAGGAGGUUGGAUGCAAGGCAAAAAGCUCACGAGCCUGGUGAUAGUCCAAGCAACUUCGCCUUUAUGCAAAUGAGGUGAGCAGCCCCUGCAGCAGACUUCCACAGAGGCUGUAGGAAAAGGAACUUGGCUAAUUCUUUUCAUCAUUAGCUUUUAUUUCAUAUGUAUGAGGGUUUUGCCUUCAAGUGUGUCUAUGCACCACUGUCAGCCUGGUGCCCAUGGAAGCCAAUGAGGGUGUCCGAUUCCCUGAAACAGGAGUUAUGAAUUAGUGUGAGCUGCCAUGUGGGUGUGAGGAACUGAGCCCUGGUUGUCUAGAAAAGUGGCUCUUAACCACUGAGCCAACUCUGUGAUGUUUACUAUUCAUUGUCACCUCGAUGGGUACUGUUCCUCAGACAUCCCUACCUUGUUUUGUGAGACAGAGUCUCCCACUGGCCUGGAACUCUCUAAAAAGGUCUGGUUGGCUUGCCAGAAAGUCAAAGUUACCCACCUGUCUCUACCUCCACAGCACUGAGGGUCUAAGGGCAUGCUUCUUUACGUGGAUGGAUCAAGCUCAGGUUCUCAGGCCUGAGUGACAAGGACUUUAUCCAUUGAGCCAUCUCCCUAAGCCAUCAGCCAAUUGUCUUUGAAGAAAAAAGCUAUCAGGCUGCAAGAAGCAUCCAAAGGCAUGAUGGUAUGGUCUUGUUAGAGGAACUGUGACACUGUGGGAAUGGGCAAUGAGACCCUCCUCCUAACCACAUGGGAGUCAGUAUUCUGCUAGCAGCUUUCAGAUGAAGAUGUAGAACUCUGAGCUCCUCUUGCACCGUGCCUGCCUGGAUGCUGCCAUGUUCCCACCUUGAUGAUAAUGGACUGAACCUCUAAACCUGUAAGCCAGCCCUAAAUCAAUGUUGUCCUUAUAAGAGUUGCCUUGGCCAUACUUACCUGUACAACCACUCUGGAAAUCAGUCUGGCGGUUCUUCAGAAAAUUGGACAUAGUACUACCGGAGGAUCCAGCAAUACCUCUCCUGGGCAUAUAUCCAGAAGAUGACCCAACUGGUAAGAAGGACACAUGCUCCACUAUCUUCAUAGCAGCCUUAUUUAUAAUAGCCAGAAGCUGGAAAGAACCCAGAUGCCCC
rnacentral:lncRNA from 1 species